GCUGUAGCUCAAUGGCAGAGCACCUGCUUUGCAUGCAGAAGGUCUCAUGUUCAACCCCCAGCAUCUCCA